rnacentral:rRNA from 1 species
UACGUAGGUGGCAAGCGUUAUCCGGAUUUACUGGGUGUAAAGGGCGCGCAGGCGGUCCUGAAAGUCAGAUGUGAAAGAUCAAGGCUUAACUUUGACAGGUCAUCUGAAACUUUGGGACUUGAGUAUCAGAGGGGAAAGUGGAAUUCCUGGUGGAGCGGUAAAAUGCGCAGAGAUCAGGAGGAACACCGGUGGCGAAGGCGACUUUCUGGCUGACAACUGACGCUGAGGCGCGAAAGCGUGGGGAGCAAACAGGAUUAGAUACCCGUGUA